rnacentral:rRNA from 1 species
GAUGAACGCUGGCGGCGUGCCUAAUACAUGCCAGUCGAGCGAACAGACGAGGAGCUUGCUCCUCUGACGUUAGCGGCGCACGGGUGAGUAACACGUGGAUAACCUACCUAUAAGAGUGGGAUAACUUCGGGACACCGGAGCUAAUACCGGAUAAUAUAUUGAACCGCAUGGUUCAAUAGUGAACGACGGUUUUGCUGUCACUUAUAGAUGGAUCCGCGCCGCAUUAGCUAGUUGGUGAGGUAACGGCUUACCAAGGCAACGAUGCGUAGCCGACCUGAGAGGGUGAUCGGCCACACUGGAACUGAGACACGGUCCAGACUCCUACGGGAGGCAGCAGUAGGGAAUCUUGGGCAAUGGGCGAAAGCCUGACGGAGCAACGCCGCGUGAGUGAUGAAGGUCUUCGGAUCGUAAAACUCUGUUAUUAGGGAAGAACAAAUGUGUAAGUAACUAGGCACGUCUUGACGGUACCGGAUCAGAAAGCCACGGCUAACUACGUG